AGAGCGAACGCUGGCGGCAGGCCUAACACAUGCAAGUCGAGCGCCCCGCAAGGGGAGCGGCAGACGGGAGAGUAACACGUGGGAACGUACCCUUUGGUUCGGAACAACCCAGGGAAACUUGGGCUAAUACCGAAUAAGCCCUUACGGGGAAAGAUUUAUCGCCAAAGGAUCGGCCCGCGUCUGAUUAGCUAGUUGGUGAGGUAACGGCUCACCAAGGCGACGAUCAGUAGCUGGUCUGAGAGGAUGAUCAGCCUCACUGGGACUGAGACACGGCCCAGACUCCUACGGGAGGCAGCAGUGGGGAAUAUUGGACAAUGGGCGCAAGCCUGAUCCAGCCAUGCCGCGUGGGUGAUGAAGGCCCUAGGGUUGUAAAGCCCUUUCGGCGGGGAAGAUAAUGACGGUACCCGCAGAAGAAGCCCCGGCUAACUUCGUGCCAGCAGCCGC
rnacentral:rRNA from 1 species